AAAUAAGAAGCAAUAAAUGCAUUUAAUUUCGACUUAAAAGAUAGGGUUUUAAAAGCCCCUUAUUUA
rnacentral:tRNA from 1 species